rnacentral:rRNA from 1 species
UACGGGGGGGGCAAGCGUUGUUCGGAAUUACUGGGCGUAAAGGGCGCGUAGGCGGUUUGCUAAGUUGGAUGUGAAAACUCUGGGCUUAACCCAGAGCCUGCAUCCAAAACUGGCAAACUUGAGUACUGGAGGGGAAAGCGGAAUUCCUGGUGUAGCGGUGAAAUGCGUAGAUAUCAGGAGGAACACCGGUGGCGAAGGCGGCUUUCUGGACAGUAACUGACGCUGAGGCGACGAAAGCUAGGGGAGCAAACAGG